CCUACGGGUGGCAGCAGUGGGGAAUAUUGCUCAAUGGGGGGAACCCUGAACCAGCGACGCCGCGUGAAGGAAGAAGGAUUUCGGUUUGUAAAGCCCUUUUGGCAGGGAAGAAAAUGACGGUACCUGACUAAUAAGCACCGGCUAACUCCGUGCCAGCAGCCGCGGUAAUACGUAGGGGGCAAGCGUUAUCCGGAUUUACUGGGUGUAAAGGGCGCGUAGGCGGUAUAGCAAGUCAGAUGUGAAAGCUUAUGGCUUAACCGUCGAACUGCAUUUGAAACUGUUGAUCUCGAGUACGGGAGAGGUAGGCGGAAUUCGUGGUGUAGCGGUGAAAUGCGUAGAUAUUACGAAGAACUCCGAUUGCGAAGGCAGCUUACUGGACUGCAACUGACGUUGAGGCUCGAAAGCGUGGGGAGCAAACAGGAUUAGAUACCCUAGUAGUC
rnacentral:rRNA from 1 species